rnacentral:rRNA from 1 species
GUGGGGAAUAUUGGACAAUGGGGGGAACCCUGAUCCAGCCAUGCCGCGUGUGUGAAGAAGGCCUUUUGGUUGUAAAGCACUUUAAGCGAGGAGGAGGCUACCGAGAUUAAUACUCUUGGAUAGUGGACGUUACUCGCAGAAUAAGCACCGGCUAACUCUGUGCCAGCAGCCGCGGUAAUACAGAGGGUGCAAGCGUUAAUCGGAUUUACUGGGCGUAAAGCGCGCGUAGGUGGCCAAUUAAGUCAAAUGUGAAAUCCCCGAUCGUAACUUGGGAAUUGCAUUCGAUACUGGUUGGCUAGAGUAUGGGAGAGGAUGGUAGAAUUCCAGGUGUAGCGGUGAAAUGCGUAGAGAUCUGGAGGAAUACCGAUGGCGAAGGCAGCCAUCUGGCCUAAUACUGACACUGAGGUGCGAAAGCAUGGGGAGCAAACAGGAUUAGAUACCCUGGUAGUCC